AUGAAAGAAUUGGGACUGCGAGAAGAGGAUCUCGAUGACGUGCUUUUUGAUGAGAAGGAUGCGCCAUUGGAGGCGGCUCGAUGGAUUGCGCUCGUCAAGGUCAACAGUGCCAAAACCUAUAGUCAAUUUUGGUUUUUCAGGAACAUGAGAUCAGCUUGGGAUCUUGCCCAAGAGGUUCAGUUCAAGCCUUUAGAGGAAAAUCUUUACACAGCUCAAUUUGCAUGCUUGGGAGAUUGGGAG
rnacentral:rRNA from 1 species